UGGAACUCAGAGUUUCCAAAUAUGAAAAUGUGUGAGUCGAGGAAACACCAGUUUCUUUAACUAAUUGGAACUGAGGGUUCUGGCACGGCCAAUAGAUAACUGGGCAUGCUUUAAUAACCUGCUAGUCUGCCUCCUUAUUGCUUCCUCGCAGCAUUUACUCCACUGGUCAACAAACCUCCCUGCGCUUGCCCCCUCGUCCUCACCCGGAAGAGCCAUCUCCGGUCCCUCCUCAUCAUCUUCUGAUGCCUUGCCACCCACGGCCCUGAUGUAUUCGGCUCCCCACGGCUGCAUGGCAGAAGAUAACCGCCUUUCCAGGAAGUCUCUUUUUCAAGGUAGAAUUGUAGAAGAACACCCUAACCCUACGGAACAAGAUACAGCCGUAGACCCAACAACCUUCAAACCUAGAAUUCUGGAAGGCCUCCAAGGACAUUACGUGCUCUGAGGAAGAUGAAGAUGAAGAAGAGGGGGUCCAAAAACGCCCCCAGACACAAUUUCCAAGAGGCGUGGCGAGGGCAGAACCUGGGUGGUGACAGGACGGGGAUUGGGCAAAAAUCAUUAUAAAAACUGUGGACAUCUGUAUUUCGGGAGCGCAUGCUGGGGGUAUUCCAGAAAGCCUGGGGGCUCAUUAAAGCCUUUGUAUCCUUAUCUCCUA